UUCAAAUACCGGUUCUCGUCUGAUCACCGAAGUUACGCAAAUUUGAGCCUGGUUAGUACCUAGAUGAAUGCUCGCUUGGGAAUAUUAGGUGAUGUAA